AGAGUUUGAUCUUGGCUCAGGAUGAACGCUGGCGGCGCGCCUAACACAUGCAAGUCGAACGAGCGAGAGAGAGCUUGCUUUCUCGAGCGAGUGGCGAACGGGUGAGUAACGCGUGAGGAACCUGCCUCAAAGAGGGGGACAACAGUUGGAAACGACUGCUAAUACCGCAUAAGCCCACAGGUCGGCAUCGACCAGAGGGAAAAGGAGCAAUCCGCUUUGAGAUGGCCUCGCGUCCGAUUAGCUAGUUGGUGAGGUAACGGCCCACCAAGGCAACGAUCGGUAGCCGGACUGAGAGGUUGAACGGCCACAUUGGGACUGAGACACGGCCCAGACUCCUACGGGAGGCAGCAGUGGGGAAUAUUGCACAAUGGGGGAAACCCUGAUGCAGCGACGCCGCGUGGAGGAAGAAGGUCUUCGGAUUGUAAACUCCUGUUGUUGAGGAAGAUAAUGACGGUACUCAACAAGGAAGUGACGGCUAACUACGUGCCAGCAGCCGCGGUAAAACGUAGGUCACAAGCGUUGUCCGGAAUUACUGGGUGUAAAGGGAGCGCAGGCGGGAAGACAAGUUGGAAGUGAAAUCUAUGGGCUCAACCCAUAAACUGCUUUCAAAACUGUUUUUCUUGAGUAGUGCAGAGGUAGGCGGAAUUCCCGGUGUAGCGGUGGAAUGCGUAGAUAUCGGGAGGAACACCAGUGGCGAAGGCGGCCUACUGGGCACCAACUGACGCUGAGGCUCGAAAGUGUGGGUAGCAAACAGGAUUAGAUACCCUGGUAGUCCACACCGUAAACGAUGAUUACUAGGUGUUGGAGGAUUGACCCCUUCAGUGCCGCAGUUAACACAAUAAGUAAUCCACCUGGGGAGUACGACCGCAAGGUUGAAACUCAAAGGAAUUGACGGGGGCCCGCACAAGCAGUGGAGUAUGUGGUUUAAUUCGACGCAACGCGAAGAACCUUACCAAGUCUUGACAUCCUUCUGACCGGUACUUAAUCGUACCUUCUCUUCGGAGCAGGAGUGACAGGUGGUGCAUGGUUGUCGUCAGCUCGUGUCGUGAGAUGUUGGGUUAAGUCCCGCAACGAGCGCAACCCUUAUCUUUAGUAGCCAGCGGUUAAGCCGGGCACUCUAGAGAGACUGCCAGGGAUAACCUGGAGGAAGGCGGGGAUGACGUCAAAUCAUCAUGCCCCUUAUGACUUGGGCUACACACGUGCUACAAUGGCGUAAACAAAGGGAAGCAAAGCUGUGAAGCCGAGCAAAUCUCAAAAAUAACGUCUCAGUUCGGACUGUAGUCUGCAACCCGACUACACGAAGCUGGAAUCGCUAGUAAUCGCAGAUCAGAAUGCUGCGGUGAAUACGUUCCCGGGUCUUGCACACACCGCCCGUCA
rnacentral:rRNA from 1 species